rnacentral:rRNA from 1 species
UACGUAGGGUGCGAGCGUUAAUCGGAAUUACUGGGCGUAAAGCGUGCGCAGGCGGUUUUGUAAGCCAGAUGUGAAAUCCCCGGGCUUAACCUGGGAAUGGCAUUUGGGACUGCAAGGCUUGAGUGCGGCAGAGGAGACUGGAAUUCCUGGUGUAGCGGUGAAAUGCGCAGAUAUCAGGAGGAACACCGGUGGCGAAGGCGGUUCUCUGGGCAUGUCCUGACGCUGAGGAGCGAAAGUGUGGGGAGCGAACAGG